AUCUUGAAGGUCUUAAACUGUCAUACAAUCCUCUUAGUCUUUCAUAAGAAAUCUCAUGGAUCUGUCCAUGAAAGUUGUUUGUGGUCGUUCUCCUGCUUCUUGUGACCACAUGCAUCUAGAGAGGAGGGUUUAACGAUGCGGGGUUACUUACCGGUGGGUUGGGAUUUCAAAGUAGGACCAGGGACCAGUGCAGCUAGCUUUGGCGAGGGACUGUCAGUCAAAGAGCUUCAAGUUCAAGGGGAUGUGUGUGCGCGAUGAUAACUGUGCAAGUGUUUGCCUGGUCGAGGGUUUCACCGGAGGCAGGUGCAAGGGCUUUUGGCACCGUUGUUACUGCACCAAGGACUGCUAGAUGGCCCUGAUUUGUCUAUUGCAUGUAUGCUUCCGUGUAAUAACUAAUAACAGAAUAAUAGAUCUAUAUCUAUGUAUC